rnacentral:rRNA from 1 species
CAAUAGCGUAUACUAAAGUUGUUGCAGUUAAAAAGCUCGUAGUUGGAUUUCUGGCUCGGCAAGCCUAGCCCGAGGACCUGGUGUCCUUGUGAGCUGGCGCUUGUCGGCCAUCCUUCAGGAGAGUGUUUCUGCCCUUGAUUGGGUUGGGGACAGGAUCCUGAUCGUUUACUUUGAAAAAAUUAGAGUGUUCAAAGCAGGCGUGUGCUGUGAAUACAUUAGCAUGGAAUAAUAAGAUAGGACUUCGGCCCUAUUUUGUUGGUUCUGGAGCUGAGGUAAUGAUUGAUAGGGAUAGUUGGGGGUGCUCGUAUUCAACGGCCAGAGGUGAAAUUCUUGGAUUUGUUAAAGACGGACUACUGCGAAAGCAUUUGCCAAGGAUGUUUUCAUUGA